rnacentral:rRNA from 1 species
AAAAACUAGGACUCAUAGCUAAACUUAAUACCUCUAUUAGUGGUAGAGGAGCAUUGUAUUAGAGACGAAGCCAAGGCGAAAGCAAAAGUGGAUCUAAUACAAGAGAGAAUGCUGGCAUGAGUAGCGAGAAGGGAUGUGAGAAUCAUCCCCGUCGAAACCCUAAGGACUCCUGAGCAAGGCUCGUCCCCUCAGGGAAAGUCGGGACCUAAGCCAAGGCCGAAAGGCGUAGGCGAUGGAUAACAGGUUUAUAUUCCUGUACCGCUUGAAGUCGUUAAGAGAGAAGUGAUGACGCAAAAGGAUAAGCAAAGCCAUCAGAUGGAAAAGAUGGUCUAAAGCCGUAGGAAGAAAAGUAGGCAAAUCCGCUUUUCACAAAUUCUAAAAGCCGAUAGGUAUCGAAAACAUAAGUAGAGAAGUUGCCGAUUCCAGGUUGCCAAGAAAAGUCACUAUCCAGACCAAAGCGCCCGUACCAAAACCGACACAGGUAGGGAGGUAGAGAAUACCAAGACGCGCGGAAGAACCUUUGUUAAGGAACUCGGCAAAAUGUCCCCGUAACUUCGGGAGAAGGGGAGCCUGAGCAAUCAGGCCACAGAAACCAGGCCCAAGCGACUGUUUACCAAAAACACAAGUUUCUGCAAAAUCGCAAGAUGAAGUAUAGGAGCUGACACCUGCCCGGUGCUGGAAGGUUAAGGGGAAGGCUUAGAGCAAUCGAAGGCUAGAACUUAAGCCCCAGUAAACGGCGGCCGUAACUAUAACGGUCCUAAGGUAGCGAAAUUCCUUGUCGGGUAAGUUCCGACCCGCACGAAAGGUGUAACGAUUUGGGCACUGUCUCAACAAAGGAUCCGGUGAAAUUGUAGUAGUCGUGAAGAUGCGACUUACCCACGCUAGGACGGAAAGACCCCGUGGAGCUUUACUGUAGGCUGAUAUUGGAUUUUGAGAUUAAAUGUACAGGAUAGUUGGGAGACUGAGAUAUCUGGAUGCCAAUCUAGGAGGAGUCACUGGUGGGAUACCAACCUUUUAAUAUCAAAGUUCUAACCAUAGCCCUUGAAUCAGGGCAUGGGACAUUGUCAGUUGGGCAGUUUGACUGGGGCGGUCGCCUCCUAAAAAGUAACGGAGGCGUUCAAAGGUUCGCUCAGAAUGGACGGAAACCAUUCGCAGAGUAUAAAGGCAUAAGCGAGCUUAACUGCGAGAGCUACAACUCAAGCAGAGUCGAAAGACGGACUUAGUGAUCCGGUGGUACCGCAUGGAAGGGCCAUCGCUCAACGGAUAAAAGCUACCCCGGGGAUAACAGGCUUAUCUCCCCCAAGAGUCCACAUCGACGGGGAGGUUUGGCACCUCGAUGUCGGCUCGUCUCAUCCUGGGGCUGGAGUAGGUCCCAAGGGUUGGGCUGUUCGCCCAUUAAAGAGGCACGCGAGCUGGGUUCAGAACGUCGUGAGACAGUUCGGUCCCUAUCCAGCGUGGGCGUAAGAAAUUUGAGAGGAGCUGUCCUUAGUACGAGAGGACCGGGAUGGACGCACCAAUGGUGUACGAGUUGUUAGGCCACUAGCAUGGCUCGGUAGCUAAGUGCGGGAAUGAUAAGUACUGAAAGCAUCUAAGUACGAAGCAUGCCUCAAGAUAAGAUUUCUCAGAGUAGGUAAAGAAAAUACCUUAGAUAGGUCCAAGGUGUAAGUGCAGUAAUGUAUUAAGCUAAUGGAUACUAAACUUUAAAUCUUGACUGG